rnacentral:rRNA from 1 species
UACGUAGGCAGCAAACGUUGUUCGGAAUUACUGGGCGUAAAGAGUGUGUAGGCGGUUCGUAAGUUUGGUGUGAAAUCUCCCGGCUUAACUGGGAGGGUGCGCCGAAAACUGCGAGGCUUGAGUACUGGAGAGGAGAGCGGAAUUCCCGGUGUAGCGGCGAAAUGCGUAGAGAUGUGGAGGAAUACCGAUGGCGAAGGCAGCCCCCUGGGCCAAUAACUGGACGCUCAUGCACGAAAGCGUGGGGAGCAAACAGG